AAACGACUCUCGGCAACGGAUAUCUCGGCUCUCGCAUCGAUGAAGAACGUAGCGAAAUGCGAUACUUGGUGUGAAUUGCAGAAUCCCGUGAACCAUCGAGUCUUUGAACGCAAGUUGCGCCCGAAGCCAUCCGGCCGAGGGCACGUCUGCCUGGGCGUCACGCACGCCGUCGCCCCCCGCCCCGCGCCGUCCCCCAGGGGAACGCGCGCGCGGGCGGCGGGGCGGAGCAUGGCCCCCCGUGCCCGCGAGGGCGCGGUCGGCCCAAAUAGAGGGAUCCCGGUGGCGGCGGUCACGGCCGGCGGUGGUUGUCGAGAAGCCUUCGCGCUCCGGCGAGCGACCCGUCACCGGCCCGAGCGACCCCCAGAGCGACGCCCCGUCAUUGGCGCCGUUCACGACGCGACCCCAGGUCAGGCGGGACUACCCGCUGAGUUUAAGCAUAUCAAUAAGCGGAGGAAGAGAAACUAACCAGGAUUCCCCUAGUAACGGCGAGCGAACCGGGAAGAGCCC
rnacentral:rRNA from 1 species